AUUGAACGCUGGCGGCAGGCCUAACACAUGCAAGUCGAGCGGAUGAGAGGAGCUUGCUCCUCGAUUCAGCGGCGGACGGGUGAGUAAUGCCUAGGAAUCUGCCCAGUAGUGGGGGACAACGUUUCGAAAGGAACGCUAAUACCGCAUACGUCCUACGGGAGAAAGUGGGGGAUCUUCGGACCUCACGCUAUUGGAUGAGCCUAGGUCGGAUUAGCUAGUUGGUAGGGUAAAGGACUACCAAGGCGACGAUCCGUAACUGGUCUGAGAGGAUGAUCAGUCACACUGGAACUGAGACACGGUCCAGACUCUUACGGGAGGCAGCAGUGGGGAAUAUUGGACAAUGGGCGCAAGCCUGAUCCAGCCAUGCCGCGUGUGUGAAGAAGGCCCUCGGGUCGUAAAGCACUUUAAGUUGGGAGGAAGGGCUUACAGCGAAUACCUGUGAGUUUUGACGUUACCGACAGAAUAAGCACCGGCUAACUUCGUGCCAGCAGCAGCCGCCG
rnacentral:rRNA from 1 species